GGAGAGCCAUUGGAGGUUUUUGAGCAAACAUCCAACUUAUAGCAGACUCAUUCUGGCUGCUGUGUUGAAAAUAAAAUGAGGCAGAGCUGGAGCCAAAGCAGGAAAAUCUGGGAGGAGGUCUGCUUGAGUUUCCUGGAGGUCCACUCCAGACCCUAUUUGCCUGGAUAUCACCAGCAGAGGCUGCAGAACAGCAAAGAUUGCUGCUUGCUCCUUCCUGUGGAAGCUUCAUCCCAGAGGGGCACCCACCUGAUGCCAGCCAGAGCUCUCCUGUAUGAGAAACUUCUCUAAAUGAUACUUACAGACCUGCAAUUCCUUAUCUGCAGUUAUGAAAUCCAUAAACAAAAAGCUUGAAAACCAACAGUUUUCCAACGGAUAUGAGAAAGUCAUCUCAUUUUGCCAGUUGGAACAAGCCUAGAAGUUUGGUGUUUUGUUUUGAAACUGAAAAUUGCUUUAAGAGGCACUUUGUGCACUUGGACGUGGUUGAGAAGAGACCCACAGAGAUGAUUAAAGGCUGAAAAACAGACUGAGAAAACUGGAAGAGAAAGCUAAAGGCAAUUUAGUAAUCAACGUCAAGCAUAUGAAAGGUUGUUAUUACCAAGGAGGGUGACAAGCCCAUGCUGUUCAUACCCUCUAAGGGGAGAGCAACAGGAAAUGAGGCAAGUUGCAGCAUAGAUGACUUCAGUUAGAUAAAGAGGAACUUACUUGGCAGAAAACAUUGCUACAAACUGAAGGGUCCACCAGGAAUGAUGCUUGGUCCCUCCUUCUCCAGAGGUAUGUAAACAGGAAAAGUUUCCAACUGCCUGGAAUGUUCCCUGUGCAAUAUUGCCUAAAGUAGGGAAUAGAAUUAACAGUUUUGAGGGACAGUCUCCAGAAAAGACAUAGAUUUUUGGCACCCAGGACACAGGUGACCUGACAAAGUCCUUCCAACUCCAAAAAUCUUGGAGAAAGUAUUUCAGAGGAACUGAAUUCAACAGUCACAUCUUUUCACUACACAUUUACUAAGCCUCUUUUCGAAGCCACCCCAGGUUAGAUACCAUCCCAAUUACUAAGGCAUAGUUUAUGCUAAUAGAGGAAAGAGCUGAUUACCACAUAUUCUUUAGAGGCCUAUCAGGCAUCAGCUCUCCGAAUUCUGUCUCACUCAUACAUGUGCACACAUAUACAACUACAAAGCAACCGCCAAAGCUACUUGCAUUUCCUCUGAGUGACACCGACCCCUAGCUGCUCUAACCUCCAAACCUUUGCAUGUGGUAUUUCCUCUACCUCUAAUUCCCUUCCCCCACUUCCUUACUUUGUAAAUCCCUUCUUGUCCCUAAAGAUACUGCUCAGGCAUUACCUCCUCCAAGCUGCCCUCUUGCCACAGCUACUAUUCCCUUCACCCCAACUCUGGAUUAUGAUACUCUUUCAUGAUCCCUGGCUGAAAGCAUUAGGAACUGAAUCAAAAUGAUCCAAAAGAGAACUUGUUGGAAGUAUAAUGUAUCAGCAGCUCAAUAGCAGAUAGAGGAACAAGCUUGCAAAUGCCCAAGAUUUAGGGGAGUUAAAACCAAGAACCAGAGGGUAUAAUUGUCUCAUAUUUGAAAGCAUCAGGACUGGAUGUUUCUACCUCACUUCAGUUCAGAAUGCCCUGAAUAUAUUCUCUCCAUCCUAGUAUCAACAUCUUAAAAGAGAGCCUCAUCGGCCAACCUUGGGUCUCAUGACUAGUCUGAACUAGCCUGUGACUGUGCUAGGGUGGGAGAGGAAGAUCACUCUUUUCAGUUUGUCUAGUGAGCAUUGGUCACUAGAAAUUAUCAUCCCACUUAAAUUCACACAAAGGAGGAGAGGUGAUUCCCCCCAAAAAGAAAUUGUAAUAAAAUAGGAGAGGCAAGGUAAGCUAAGCAGCUCUCUCUUACGUUCAUUACAUUGUGGUAUGAUCCUUGGUUUUCCUGUCUGUGUUCUUAGUAAGUUCAUGUGCACUCUGAAGGCAGCAAUUGUAUCUUUUAUUUGUGUCUCAUAGACUAUUGGGUACAGAAUCUGUGAUCAAUAACCUUUUACAGGUUCUUGGUCAAUAUUUGUUGAAUGAUACAUGAAGGCUAAGACCAUAUGCAUCCCUGUGUCUGCCAACUUCAAGCUCUGUGCUUUUUCUACCAUACCACAAGGUUAGCAGGGAUUAUGUGCUCAGCCUUAAUCCAGUUACCUGUUUCUUAACCUAAGGUAUUUGUUGUUAUUGGGUUUUUUUUUUAAUAAAUUAAGAUUGGUAUAGUAAGUCUUGGUUACAGCCAGCAAAAAAAACAAGUCUCAAAAUAUUCACAGAACUGAAUCCCAGGAUGUGCAAAUGCAGUUUUUAAGCAUCCAUUUACCUUUGAGUGAAACUAUGAUAUCCAUCAAACUUCUCAGACAAUACUAUCCACAAACGUCAAUUUUUACCUAGGUAAUGGUGACUAUAGGAAAAGAAAAGAAGAAAAAUAAUACCAGAAGUCUGCAAAUAAGCUCUAAAUGUAGCAAAUAACUAAACAUAAUAAAACAUAGUGCAUAUGUGUUUCCGUGGCCACUAUCACACAGGUAAGCAUGGCUGACUGGCUUGGUAAGUCCAUUUCAAUACUACCAGUGUUCACUGACAGUGUCUAUAGCCAUUCAAGCUUGUGAAUUUGCAUGGUUUGUUUAAUCCAAUUUCAAUUUUGUUCUGAAUCAUACUUGGCCUUGCACUGAGUAUUGCUUCAUUGAGAUGAAUAAAUGCACACCUUGUUC